UUAACGGCGAGUGAAGCGGCAAAAGCUCAAAUUUGAAAUCUGGUACCAUUCGGUGCCCGAGUUGUAAUUUGUAGAAGGCGACUCUGGGGCUGGUCCUUGUCUAUGUUCCUUGGAACAGGACGUCAUAGAGGGUGAGAAUCCCGUGUGGCGAGGAUACCAGUUCUUUGUAGAGUGCUUUCGAAGAGUCGAGUUGUUUGGGAAUA
rnacentral:rRNA from 1 species